rnacentral:rRNA from 1 species
CAGGGAUUGCCUCAGUAACGGCGAGUGAAGCGGCAACAGCUCAAAUUUGAAAUCUGGCUCUUUUAGGGUCCGAGUUGUAAUUUGUAGAAGAUGCUUCGGGUGUGGCCCUGGUCUAAGUUCCUUGGAACAGGACGUCAUAGAGGGUGAGAAUCCCGUAUGUGACUGGGUGCCUAUACUCAUGUGAAGCUCUUUCGACGAGUCGAGUUGUUUGGGAAUGCAGCUCAAAAUGGGUGGUAUAUUUCAUCUAAAGCUAAAUAUUGGCCAGAGACCGAUAGCGCACAAGUAGAGUGAUCGAAAGAUGAAAAGCACUUUGGAAAGAGAGUUAAACAGUACGUGAAAUUGUUGAAAGGGAAGCGCUUGCAACCAGACUUGCACGCUGUCGAUCAUCCGAGAUUUUUCCCGGUGCACUCGAUUGCGUUCAGGCCAGCAUCGGUUUCGGUGGUUGGAUAAAGGCCUUAGGAAUGUAGCUUCUCUCGGGGAGUGUUAUAGCCUUCGGUGCAAUGCAGCCUACCGGGACCGAGGACCGCGCUUCGGCUAGGAUGCUGGCGUAAUGGUUGUAAGCGACCCGUCUUGAAACACGGACCAAGGAGUCUAACAUCUAUGCGAGUGUUUGGGUGUCAAACCCAUACGCGUAAUGAAAGUGAACGGAGGUGAGAACCCUUAAGGGUGCAUCAUCGACCGAUCCUGAUGUCUUCGGAUGGAUUUGAGUAAGAGCAUAGCUGUUGGGACCCGAAAGAUGGUGAACUAUGCCUGAAUAGGGUGAAGCCAGAGGAAACUCUGGUGGAGGCUCGCAGCGGUUCUGACGUGCAAAUCGAUCGUCAAUUUGGGGUAUAGGGCGAAGACUAUCGAACAUCUAGUAGCUGGUCUGC